rnacentral:lncRNA from 1 species
CCCAGUCCUCCAGGCCCACUCCCCAGUCCUCCAGGCCCACAAGUGAGUCCUCCAGGACCCACAUCCCAUUCCUCCAGCCCCACGUCCCAGUCCUCCAGCCCCACACCGAGGUCCUCCAAGGCCAUCCCCAAGUCCUUCAGCCCCACAUCCGAGGUCCUCCAGCCCCUUAAUUGACUCCUUCAGCUCCACACCGAGGUCCUCCCGCCCCACAUGCUGGUCCUCCAGCCCCAAAAUUGACUCCUUCAGCCCCACAUCGAGGUCCUCCAGCCCCACAUGCGAGAUCCUCCAGCUCAGAAGUGAGUCCUCCAGCCCCACACCGGGGUCCUCCAGCCCCACACGUGAGUCCUCCAGCCUCGUGUCUCCUUCUCACACUCUUCGAUGCUCCUCAGCCUCUCCGCCUCCUCUUUCAGGCCAGUCCUCCAGCCCCACACCCCAGUCCUCCAGCCCCAUAAGUGAGUUUUCCAGCCCCACAUCGAGGUCCUCCAGCCGCACACCUCGGUCCUCCAGAACCCGAAGUGAGUCCUCCAGCCCCACAUCCCAGUCCUCCAGCCCCACAUCCCAGUCCUUGAGACGUGAAAUUGAGUCCUCCAGCCCCACAUCCCAGUCCUCCAGCCCCACAUCCCAGUCCUUGAGACGUGAAAUUGAGUCCUCCAGCCCC